rnacentral:piRNA from 1 species
CAACCAGGCGCAUCCUGACCCACAGGAUC